rnacentral:rRNA from 1 species
GAUGAACGCUAGCGGCAGGCCUAAUACAUGCAAGUCGGACGGGAUUCAGGAGCUUGCUUCUGAUGAGAGUGGCGCACGGGUGCGUAACACGUAUGUAACCUACCUUUAUCAGGGGGAUAGCCUCUCGAAAGAGAGAUUAAGCCCGCAUAAAAUCACAGCACAGCAUUGUGUAAUGAUCAAAUAUUUAUAGGAUAAAGAUGGGCAUGCGGAACAUUAGCUAGAUGGCGGGGUAACGGCCCACCAUGGCGACGAUGUUUAGGGGAUCUGAGAGGAUGGCCCCCCACACUGGUACUGAGACACGGACCAGACUCCUACGGGAGGCAGCAGUAAGGAAUAUUGGUCAAUGGGCGGAAGCCUGAACCAGCCAUGCCGCGUGCAGGAAGACGGCCCUACGGGUCGUAAACUGCUUUUAUACGGGAAUAAACCCAGAUACGUGUAUCUGGCUGAAUGUACUGUAAGAAUAAGGAUCGGCUAACUCCGUG